rnacentral:rRNA from 1 species
AACGAACGCUGGCGGCAUGCCUAACACAUGCAAGUCGAACGAGACCUUCGGGUCUAGUGGCGCACGGGUGCGUAACGCGUGGGAACCUGCCCUUAGGUUCGGAAUAACUCCCCGAAAGGGGUGCUAAUACCGGAUAAUGUCUUCGGACCAAAGAUUUAUCGCCUUUGGAUGGGCCCGCGUUGGAUUAGCUAGUUGGUAGGGUAAAAGCCUACCAAGGCGACGAUCCAUAGCUGGUCUGAGAGGAUGAUCAGCCACACUGGGACUGAGACACGGCCCAGACUCCUAGGGGAGGCAGAAGUGGGGAAAAUUGGAAAAUGGCGAAAGCCUGAUCCAGCAAUGCCGCGUGAGUGAUGAAGGCCUUAGGGUUGUAAAGCUCUUUUACCCGGGAUGAUAAUGACAGUACCGGGAGAAUAAGCUCCGGCUAACUCCGUG